AACGUAGGUGGCGAGCGUUAUCCGGAAUUACUGGGCGUAAAGGGCGCGUAGGCGGUUCGUUAAGUCCUGUGUGAAAUCCCCCGGCUCAACUGGGGAACUGCACAGGAAACUAGCGGGCUUGAGUUCGGGAGAGGGAAGCGGAAUUCCGGGUGUAGCGGUGAAAUGCGUAGAUAUCCGGAGGAACACCGGUGGCGAAGGCGGCUUCCUGGACCGACACUGACGCUGAGGCGCGAAAGCUAGGGGAGCAAACAGG
rnacentral:rRNA from 1 species